rnacentral:lncRNA from 1 species
ACACAGAAGCCUGGCUAAAACCAGAAUCGCUGCCAAAACAAAAGGCUGUUUUGGUAAAGCAUUUUAGUAAACAGUACUUUCAAUGUACUGUUGUUUUCUUCUCCAAGUCCCUAUGAAAAAGAAUAACACUAGCAAAAUUUUGGAGGAGGAAACAAUAUAGAGCCAAGCACUGAGGCAAAAGCUACUUGAAGCUACUUGGAACCUAUGCAUAGAAGAGGGGAGACCUGUACUGACAAGUCAUCUCAAAGCACAGUGAGGUAAAGUGAGCAGAGCAAUAGCAAAACAUUAUCCCGACAUGCAAUUCCCACUGACAACAGUAAACACAAUUUAAUGUAUAAAAUGUAUAAUGUGUGUGUGUACACGUAUUACAAUAUAUAUACAAUUCAUAUUGUGCGCAAUGCUCAAUAAUGAAUAAUCACCAUCUUGAUAAUUAUGUAAAUGUAAUUAUGUAAAUGUUUAUUUUUUACAUGGUUGUACUGUAAGUGUUGACGUAACUGGUGAUGUGCUAACCCAACCGAAAUUUGUGCAAAUGUCAUCAGAGAUUAACCAUACUUUUCUGUAUAGCUUUGUUUGAAUUUGCUUGUUUUGGAAACAAAGCAAAGCUUUACCUUCCUUUGUUAAAACUGUAUAAGCAGCAGAAUGAGGCAGCAUUUUACUCUGCCUCAUGAGCCAUUAGUAAGGUUCCCAGAAUCAGCAGAUUUCCAAGUGCAGAAGUUUUAUAAGAUAAUGAUACAGGGGUCAGAAGUGUCCUGUGGGCUGUAAGACAUACAAGGAUAUACAAAAUACCUGGUUCUGAUGUUUGUCCCAGUGGUAUAUUUGACCUACACCUCACAGAAAUGUACUGAUACAAAAUAACACAUUUCUGCAAGGUGUAAGUCCCCUGCAUUAAAGUGAUGACCAAAUAGUUGGGAUCAGUCAUCACUUGCAACAAGAUCUGGAUUGACAUCAGUAUUAAAUUUAGAUCAGCAAAAGAAUGAGAGAUGAACAGCGGUUGGCAUCUUCUUGGAGGUGAGUAAUCCUAUCAGCAAUGUUUUGUUUACGAAGACAGCAUUUGUUAUGUGAAAUUUUCCCACAAUGCAUUUUUUCCUACAAAGACCUUUCAGAUUUUCAGAACACAGCAGUAUUUUUCCACACAGUUAAUUCAUUAUUGAAUUUAAUUAUUUUUUAACUGUAUCUGUUUAUUUAUUGUGCUUGUUAAUGUAAAAACAAAUUAACCUUUAAUUACGUUUCAAAUGCAC